ensembl:lincRNA
UUAUCCUAUUAAAUUCUUUAUCUUUCUGUGUGUCCUCAGUGGAGAUAUUUUUCCCUCCCUAUAGCUAAUCAGCUUCCUUCAAAUUGGAUUUCGUAGUGAUAUGGAUCUGUUCACAGUCUUAUGGAGGCUGAUGCUGGCAUUUGAAUGCAGUUCCUCGAGGCUUUCCGAUGAGCUAAGCAUUUUAAAAUAAAUCUUUGGUGGAAUGGAGUCAACGUCCCCACCUCAAAAGGAACCCAACAGGCAACUGGAUUCUGAUGUCAGAUUCCAACCAACUAACAAAGAUGAGAAAGGUGACCCAUAUGGUGGAGAAGGCUUACUGUGUGACAACUGCUUUGUCCUCAAGAGACAACUCUGCCUUUCCAUCAGAAUGCUUCUUUACACAAGACCCAAGGGUGUAGCCAAGAUGAGAAGUAUGUACGCAGGAGUGAAAGAAGUUGAUGUGUUCUACUGGGGAUCUGUCGGGUUUGAGGAGCCAAUGGGACAGUCAAGUAUACAUGAACAACAGACAACUGGAAGUGAGGAAUUGAGACACAGCUACAGCCAGAAUCCACUGGGGGAGUAGCGGUCAUUAAGGUCCUCAAAGAUGAGAUCAAAAAGAACACAUAGCUGGAAAAUUGUAUGUGUCUGUACAGUCUGGUAAGGUAGCGGGACUAUAAAAAGCAAUGGCUGGGAUCUGACUGCGCCUCACUCCGUGUGUUAACUGUCCUUGGAACUGGCAGAGAUGAUAAACGGAGUUCCAGACAAAUCAAAGAAAAGAAAUAAGAACCAGGCCUGCUGACAUUUUGUUUUUUGGAACAAGAAGUAACUCCUAUAAAUUUGAUAAAAGAGCUCCAAGAGUUCUGAAAGGCAUG